UGAUCACUGCUCUUCAUCACCUUGCUUGAAUCAAGGUACCUGCAUAAAUCAAGCGGCAUCUUACUCGUGUGCUUGUCCCAAUGGAUAUUCUGGAACGCAAUGCCAAGAAACACCUUGUUCAACUCCCCGCUGCAGCAAUGGUGGUACAUGUAACCUAGUCCCGGGUUUGCAGAGUGGAUACAACUGUACGUGUACUAAGGAGUAUGCUGGUAUUCAUUGCACUUAUGGAAUAUUGAUCUACAACAGAGGAUGUCCGCUUCCCUCUAAUACCUAUUGGCCGUACAAUGAUAAGUACGACAAACUCGUCUUUCAUUCCAACGUUAACAUGGACCUUUACGGAAUCUGUUUGUCCCAAACAAUAUAUUCGUACACUUCCAGUCAAUGCGAUUUUACGACAAGAGUUCGCAAAGAAAGUGUGACUGGAUCUUAUCUGGGCACCCUGUCAGGACGUACAUAUUGUGGUAGUAACGUUAAAGGGAGCGCAAGAUAUAUUAACUGUCCUCGACUUACUCCUUCAGUCAGGCUGAAUGCAAAUGAGCGCUACAUUCUAGAAUUGACAGUCCAUAGUCAUAAUGGCCUCUUAAUGAAGUUGGUAGAUAAGUAUGGGUACAAAGGAGGGCCCUUUACGGCAACAUUACCAGAUGGAUCACGUUCAAUAACCUACACAUAUGAAACCGUAUCUCCUGCUGAGCUCACUGAUUCUACAGGAACUACAGUGGACACAGGAGGAAUUUAUGGCAUYAUUGCACAGUAUGCAGUCGACUAACAUGCACAGUGUAUCACAGUACAGUAUACAGUCGACUAACAUGCAC